GAUGAACGCUAGCGGCAGGCUUAACACAUGCAAGUCGAGGGGUAUAGGUUUUCGGACCUAGAGACCGGCGCACGGGUGCGUAACGCGUAUGCAAUCUACCUUUCACAGAGGGAUAGCCCAGAGAAAUUUGGAUUAAUACCUCAUAGUAUUAUGAAUUGGCAUCAAUUUAUAAUUAAAGUUCCAACGGUGAAAGAUGAGCAUGCGUCCCAUUAGCUAGAUGGUAAGGUAACGGCUUACCAUGGCGACGAUGGGUAGGGGUCCUGAGGGGGAGAUCGCCCACACUGGUACUGGGACAGGGACCAGACUCCUACGGGAGGCAGCAGUGAGGAAUAUUGGUCAAUGGACGCAAGUAUGAACCAGCCAUGCCGCGUGCAGGAUGACGGUCCUAUGGAUUGUAAACUGCUUUUGUACGAGAAGAAACACUCCUUCGUGAAGGAGCUUGACGGUAUCGUAAGAAUAAGGAUCGGCUAACUCCGUGCCAGCCGCCGCCGUAAAAC
rnacentral:rRNA from 1 species